AUUGAACGCUGGCGGCAUGCUUUACACAUGCAAGUCGAACGGUAACAGGUUAAGCUGACGAGUGGCGAACGGGUGAGUAAUGCAUCGGAACGUGCCCGAUCGUGGGGGAUAACGCAGCGAAAGCUGCGCUAAUACCGCAUACGAUCUGAGGAUGAAAGCGGGGGACCGUAAGGCCUCGCGCGAUCGGAGCGGCCGAUGUCAGAUUAGGUAGUUGGUGGGGUAAAGGCUCACCAAGCCAACGAUCUGUAGCUGGUCUGAGAGGACGAACAGCCAGACUGGGACUGAGACACGGCCCAGACUCCUACGGGAGGCAGCAGUGGGGAAUUUUGGACAAUGGGCGUAAGCCUGAUCCAGCAAUGCCGCGUGCAGGAAGAAGGCCUUCGGGUUGUAAACUGCUUUUGUACGGAGCGAAAAGGUCUUCUCUAAUACAGGGGGCUCAUGACGGUACCGUAAGAAUAAGCACCGGCUAACUACGUGCCGGCCGCCGCAGUAA
rnacentral:rRNA from 1 species